rnacentral:rRNA from 1 species
GACGAACGCUGGCGGCGUGCUUAACACAUGCAAGUCGAACGGUAAGGCCCUUCGGGGUACACGAGUGGCGAACGGGUGAGUAACACGUGGGUGAUCUGCCCUGCACUUUGGGAUAAGCCUGGGAAACUGGGUCUAAUACCGAAUACACCCUGCUGGUCGCAUGGCCUGGUGGGGGAAAGCUUUUGCGGUGUGGGAUGGGCCCGCGGCCUAUCAGCUUGUUGGGGGGGUGAUGGCCUACCAAGGCGACGACGGGUAGCCGGCCUGAGAGGGUGACCGGCCACACUGGGACUGAGAUACGGCCCAGACUCCUACGGGAGGCAGCAGUGGGGAAUAUUGCACAAUGGGCGCAAGCCUGAUGCAGCGACGCCGCGUGAGGGAUGACGGCCUUCGGGUUGUAAACCUCUUUCAAUAGGGACGAAGCGCAAGUGACGGUACCUAUAGAAGAAGGACCGGCCAACUACGUGCCAGCCGCCGCUGUAACAC